CAAACAGGACAAACUUCACCAGCUGGUGAACAAAUGUGGACUUGGUACCAAAAAUUAAAAGAUGAAGGCUGUUUAUGCAGGACUGAAGGAUCUGGUAGACCAUCAUCAACAUCAGCGUAUUCCAAGCAGUGACCCCUCUGUGAUCUGAUUAGCCACCCCGUGUGCCCCCUCAAAAUUUUCGUUGGAAAUUUACAUUACUGAUACUCCGGUUUCCGACGCUCCUUAACGGAACUUCAUUGUCCGACUGCACCUGAAUGCAUCAAUAACGAUAGUUUGAUCUUUUGAUCGUAUUUCGUUUGGAUUUGAAGAAUCUUUGAAGACGUUUCCUGAUGCCGGAGGAGAAGACGAGCAGCUUUGUACCUUUGCGACCAAAGAACUACAGACUCUUCACAACCUUCUCAAACUCUUGGUACAGGACCUCACCACACGGUCAAGAAGGUUUCCUUCUCAUUUCUACUCUGAAGCUCACCUUCUCCUGCUCAAACUGCUGACAAAUGUUUGUGCUGCUCUAAAGUCUGGUCUCCAGAACUUCCUAAAAACUCUCAAAGUCUCUUCUGCUGCAGGUUGCUUUGUAGAACUGUUCCAGAAAACCUCACUAAACCACAUGGAGGGGCCUCAAGAUAGUCGUCCAAAUGAAACCGUACAAAAACCAAACUAGCACAACCCAAACACUAAAGUCUCCUGCAGCCUACCAGAGAAGCUCUUUAAACAGAGAAUCAGGACAGGAACUCUUACCUUCUGGACAACCAACGUUGGUUCACAAACAAGAAUACAGAAUGUGUCUGACCAAAAACCUCUAAAGACUCACUACAGCCAAGAUAAAGACACAAUUCAGCUGCACCAAAUCCACUAAUCACUGCACACAUUAGCACCAUGUGCUAACUGUGGCUAAAGAAGCACAUUUACCAAGACAACUAUCAGUACAAAGCCCUAAAACACACCAAGAAACACAUGAAAGAGGAUUUUACUGCUGGAAGCUGCAAGCCAACACCUAAAGAACAAACUAAAGUAACAAAGCCAAACAAAGUUAAGUGAAGAGAAGCAGAGGAAAUGUUUGACUGCAGACAUAAAGCAGGAAGACACUGAGCUGCUCAGGUGUUCCUGAUGACACCAAGCAGCCACCUGGACAGCCAAUAGGAACACAGCUUACUGGAAGUCCAGAGGACUGGCUUAGUGAAGGAAACUUAGUUUAAAGUUGAAGCAGAAAGUUCACAAAGAAAGUUGAAAACCACUUUCUGAUACCUGAAAUCUCUGAGUUUUCACACAAAGAACACCUGAACAUGUCAAACUGGUUUCAUAGUAGAACCUUCACUGUAAAAACGUCAUAGUAUGGUGUGUUGCUCAAAAAACUUUACGAACGGCUGUGUGGGGUCGCCGACACAAAAACAGGACACAUGCUGGUUUCCAGGGGGUUGAAAGAGUAAGUUUACAACAACACAACAUGUGAGCAGAAAGAUCACAAAGUCUGUCUUUAGUUCAGCUGAAAAUAUUAGUUUUUGUCUUUUUUAUUGACCAAACUUUUCAGGAAGUAGAUGAAGAAUAAUUAAAGCUCUCAUGUAGAAGUCCAACUUGUUUUGGAUCCUUGUGGAGAGUUUAAUCUUAGAGUUUGUAAAGCUGUUGAGUUUUUAGAGUCACAUGGAUUGUUUUGACAUUUAAUAACCGAGUCCUGAAAUAAAAUUACAGUUGUGGAUUUCUGUCAUUUAGUCUGGACUAAACAAAUAACAGCAGCAUAAAUCUCAAACGUCUUUAUGAGGAGUCUGGAUUGAGGUUUCUCACUUGAUAAUGAUCAAAAUAUGAAAUUUAGGUUGGUUUAAAGGAAUAUAAUCUACAAGGUCCUCACACAUCCACCUUAAAGGAACAUUCCACCAAAAAUCCCUGGACAUGCACCUAAAAUGUUGGUUUAACCGAGUAUUCCAUCGAAAAUCCUCAAAGAGACCUGAGGGGCUAAAUCCUCCACUAGGGCAGUAUGUGUGGCAGCGACAGCAGAAAGAGGUCCUCUCUGGGUGGAAGAACGGCGUCCGAGUGGCAGCUCCCUUUCUGCUCUUACCUUACUCACUAAACCCCAACUGCUGUGUGGUCCAUCAGGGUGACUUCUUCAAGCCCCAGGAUCAGAUUGAAGUUGGUGAAGAUGGCUUUAAGCAGUACAAUGUCAUCACUGCUCUGGACAUGGACGUCAUGAUGAGUAGGAUCUACGCGUGGCUGGAGAACCCGGUGAAGUUUGAGAAGUCUCAUGGCGUUAAUAACACCCUGGACACAGAGAUGGUCCUGAAGUCCGACCACAAAGAGGAGGAGGAGCCUCACAUCCUCAUUAUGGAGGGCUUCCUGCUUCACACCUACAGGAUUUGAUGGACGUGCUAAACCAAUGUUACUUUAUUUCCGUCCCAUAUGAAGAAUGCAAAAAGAGGAGGAGCUCUAGGAAGUCCACGGUACCAGACCCCCCCGGCCUGUUCGAUGGCCACGUCUGGACCAUGGACCUGCAACACAAGAACAUCUGCUCACUGUGGAAGAUUAUUGAGAGCAGCUUUUAGUGAUUUCUAUGCAGAACACUAUGAUGCUUGCUGAGCUGUGCACUAUUAAAUGAUUUAAGAAUG